CGCUUGAGCUUUAGUCUUCUGAGUUCUCAAAUUCUUUGACCCUCUGUCUCAGUAUUCGGCAGAGAUGCUGAUGUUAACAAGAAAUGCAGGCUGAAUGUUGUAUGGAAGGAUGAUCAUUUCGGCUUCUUGUAGCCAUUGAUGCUGUCUAAUGCUUGGAGAGACAUUGUUUAAUGUGACUUUGGACAAGGUUACUGAAGAUAGAACUAUCUGGCCUCAGAGGUCAGUUUUCAGUUGCUAAGACAGUGAAGCUCUUUCAUCUUCCUGGUAAUACUGUCCCUUGGUUCAAGCUUCUUUGGGGUAAGAAGCACAUCCCUAGUCAUGCUUUUCUUUCCUGGAUGGCUAUGAAUAAGAGUCUGAGAGUCAAAGCUAAACUGUACAAUCUUUAAGUGCUUUCGUCUGAUUUUGAGGUUUGGAAGCAAAGAAGCAGAGCGGAGUUUGAUUCCUUAUAUCAGAAAAAGAUAUAGGAAGACUCCCAGAAAGAAGAAAGCCUAGGAGAAAGCAAAGAAAGAGUAAGGAUCAGAAAGCUCCUAACCCCUAUUUAUUUAUGGAUGUGAAUUGAGCGAAGGCGCAAAGAAUAUUGCGAAGGUUCAAAGAAUAUUGACUUGAUAAACCUCUAUUUAGCUUCUUAUAUCUGAAGACGAUAAAGUCAGAUAAUCAGCCUCCGGCUGGGUCGGAUCGUCCAUACCUAGUUGAGUAUCUUGUCCGUCAUAACGAAGUCACUCUUUGAAAAAGGGUCGGGCUUUGUUGGAGUUGACUCGGUGAGUACACUUUCAUCUUUACGAGAAGAAGCGCGAACAACAACUAUAUUAUUCAGCAGAGACCUGAUUUACCCGAUGAGUGGAACGGCUCGACAAAAGUCUUAGGACUCGGGACGACGCGCCUCCUUCCUGCUAGAACUCAUAGGUCUACGGGGUUCUUUCGGUAGCGAGAAUAGUGGUCCCAAACGGAAUAGAAGUACUUUUGAUUCACUGAAUCGGAAUCUUUGAAAGAAGAAAGGGGGACGGAGGAUCAAUGAAAUUUGAUGAUGAUGAGUAAGCUCUUGCUUUUCUUGCUCCUCUUUCUGAAGUUGCGAGAGGUUCAAAGAUCCUUAUCAAUGAUUGGAGUGGCUGUUCCGGUUGCAGACGUUGCUGUUGGAGUAGAAGCUGUAGCCCUUUCGGUGAGGUGCGAAUGCUCGACCUCGACCCAUUGGCAUUAGUUGAGGAUGCACCAUCCCUGAUUAUUUUUUAGGAGAAAGCCUCUUUCGUCGGGUUCAAGGGAAAAGACUAAGAAUGAGGUCCCCUCCCCCCAGUUGAGGAACGAGGGCAAAAGCGAAGCCUAUGAAGUGAGUAUGAGCUCGCUCGACCCCCACGUAGCGGGAAUAGCACCAUCUUCUCUCUUUCAUGAGUAGUUCACUGCACUCAUUAGUAGCUGGACCAAGAGGUUAUUCUCUCUAUGAUCUCCUGGACUGGAAUAGCGCUCUCCCCAUAGCAAGAGGGAGCUCGACGUAGUCGGUCUUUCGGCAGUCACAAUAAUUAAGAGAAGCAGCUGCUCGGGAGAGGGAGGUAUCAGAUGCACGAAGAGAGGAUUGGUCGAAUCGACUGUAAGAAGAGGCAUCUGUUCUUGUGGCUGUAGCAGUUGCAGAAGUUGAAUCGUCUGUGGCUGUUCUUGUUUAAGAAAUAGCUGCAGCUAUUCCCACCAAGGCCUGACGAUAGGCUGAUUUCAGGAUUUCCUAUCCAUCCUCAAAUUCUUUGAGCCUUUGUUACAAGAAAAUACUCUUUAGUGACUCAAGAAUGACCCUGUCUUAUGGCACCUCUCAUCUGGAGCCUUUGUUUUUGAAACAAGUCAAAUUCUCUAAUGGAUAGGCCUGAAUUCAUGAAUAUUGAAUUGAACCUACUAAAAUCAAAGGAAUAAAGAAAGAGCUCAAAAGGAGUCAAAAUGAGAAGUCCGAAACCUCAUCACCUACUCCCGGAGGCAAGGUGAAAUUCAAUAUGACGAAGUCUUAUAGUUGGGUCUCAUCCCCCCAUAAUCAAGUAGCGUCCACUAAAAAGAAGCGGAGCGCGGAAGGACGAGGCGCAAUGAAAUAUGCCUUGAAUGAAUCUACCCUUUUUAGACUCGACUACUCCGCUACGUGGGCUUACUAGUAAUGCUGAAGUUUCCUCCUUUUCUAGCUUUCUUUCUAAUGCCCUUCUUUAUGGUCAAUGGUCACUUCCCCGAGGCGCGGAUCCCACUACACGGGAAUAUAUUAUGAUAUAAUGAACUAUCUUCUUUCUAAUAGCUAGUUUCAACAGCCACCGGGGAGGAGACAAGAACUCAAUCUACUGAAACAAGGGUUUCAACCACAGCGAGAGCAGACCUCAAAAAAAUAAGGAAGAAAAAGAUAAAGGCGCGAAGCGAAGCCUAUGAAGUCAUAAGGGCAAGGGCUUUCCGUGAACUUUCUUAUGAUGGGAAAUCCUUGUUUUCAUUUGCGAGACACAUUUCAUUCGUAGAAAUACCACUUCCUACUUCCUCAUCCCGACAAUAAAUAAAGCACUACGCGGGACAAAGUAGAUUCCCAAACUUAAAAGGAAAGACUAAAAUCAAAGCUCCAGAUGAGUUGAAUUGAGGUGCAAUGAAAUAUGCCUUUCUGCAGUGUGCGAAUUCGCUCUUUCGGCUGAUAACCUUUCGAUCCAGAAAGCACUACGCGGAAGUUCCCCACUACGCGGCGUGAAGUGACUGCCCACUUUUUGAAAAGAAAUAAAGAGCGCAGAACAAGGUUCAGUUAAGCUUGAUAAAUCAGUCCUUCGCCUAAGAAUAAGGUGAAAAGAAUAUUGAACUCAUGAAAUCAAUAUCCCUGUCUUAUGGGGCCUUUGUAGCUUAAUAAUGGGGAUCUGGUUCAAUUAUAAGGCUCAAAGAAGAUUGAGAAAGAAUAUUGCAAAAUCAAGGCGGCAAAGAAAAGGUGAAUAGGGAUUCGUACGAUUAGACUUGACUGAGAAUGGAAUUGCUUUAGCUAUCUUUUUUUUUCCGUCUUUCAAGGUGGAAGCUAAAUCAGAAUAGUUUCUAGUUGAAGGCAAGCAAGCUAGGGUUGGUUCGUAUUGACAAAGAGCUGGACUUCUAAACUUUCAAUGGGUACUGGAGUACUUUCUUUGUCAAUCGAUGCUUAAUACUAUCUUUACGCAAAUAAAGGCCGAAGAAUGAGGCUAAGUCUUCUAUUUAGUGGUCUCGCAAUAUUCUUUGCACCUUGCUGAUCUCAUUUCAAAAAUGCUUCGCCUGCCUCUUCUUUGAUUCCGUGCACGAGUAAGUACCCGUAAAUCGUAAAGAAAGAGGGGGGUAGUUACCUGCUCUUUCAUCGAGAUUGGCGAAUUACGGUAGAAGAUAGAAGAGGUUCGAGGAUCAAAGUAUUUGAGCUUUGCUAUUACUUUCAUGCUCCUCUUAGAAGGAAGAUAAGCACGAUAAGCUGGCCUAUAUCAUUGCUUAAUUCAUGCUUUCUUCGUACUUCCGGAAAGAAAUCUCACUCAUUUCAUUCUAUCACAUAAUGAGAACUCUAGAAAAGAAAUUGCUUACUUCAUGCUUUCUUCGUAUUUAUUUAAGGACCCAAUCCAUCUUUUGUCUAUGACGAUCGGUACGAAAGGAAGGCAUGCUCGCAGGGGAUUCUUAUUACUAAUAGAUGAUAAGAUAAUACGAGAAUGAAAGAGGUCGAGCGCCUCACCUCUGAGUCUGAUUGUUGGAAGUAUGAUGACUCCCACUGGUCGUCUUUCAACUCAUUAAAUCCCCCUAUCUUUUAUGGCGGUCUUACCGGAAUAUCUACUUUAUAGAAUUCCUAUGAGACUAAGAAAACAAACUGAGACCUCGUAGUCUUCCUGUUCCCGGUCGAUCCUAUGAUCGAUCUCAUACAAAGAUCUUCUAUGAUUCGACUAAAAAGACUCUUUCUUCUUAGUUUGAGCUUGAGGCGCGUCCAACCCACUACGCGGUAAGCUUUUCCUCUUUUCCUCUCACUUCAAGACUCAAGACCUUACCCGCACCGAGUCAAUCCGAUCGCUACCUUUCCAGGUCGUAUUCUAGUAAUUAAUUUCAUUAAUAACUCAGAGCGGCGAUCUAAAUACUUCUUCAGCAAGAACUUUCGAAGAAGGUAGAGGAACUGAAAUGGAUUCAGCUUCCGCAGGCAGCAUCCCUUUCAACGACGACUCCCCGAGAGACUCGCUUCAAACUUCCGAUUUAGAAAGAAGGUAUCUCAGUCUCUUACCGCGUAGUGGGCUGAUCGUGAGAGAUGGAAUCUUCAACCUCUUAUGGAAAUGUGUCCAGCGGAAGUAUUUACGUAAGAAAUUGAGAACCAGGCGAGAGGAGAGGGGUGAGGAUCGAGCGCAUUCCCUAUCGAUCAGCAUCCUCAACUCUACUUCAAGAGUAGAAAGGUUUCGGAAUUCAGAGGCAAGAGCAUUCCUUCCUCUUUCUUUAGUCAAGUCAUUUCAUUCCUUUUCUCACUAGGUCUAUAGAAAUAGUUCAUGGCCAGGACUAGGUCUCGUCAUAUUCUUUUCUCAAGAGAUGAGAAGAAAGUUCUCCUAAUAGAAUAUGUUUGAAUAUCUCAACUAGAAAGUCUCGGACUAACUCUUCCCAUAGCGUAGCCUACGGAGCGGGGAAAAGGAAGAUUUUCAACAGUCAAGAGAUCAAUCAGAAGGGAGCGGGAAGAAUGGAUAUUGUCUUCGAUCUUGCGAUAAAAUGAGUCAGACCAUAUGCGAUCUCGUCUCAAACAGAGAAUUAGUAAUCUGAGUCGCACGGGGAAUAGGUUGGAUAGUCCGGAGGACGGGAAGACAGAAAGAAAAGAGAGGCUCCGGAGGUUCAAAGAAUAUUGACAAAGAAUAUUUCAUGAAUUGAGGUGCGGUAGUCCGUCCGAAGGACUAUGAAAUCCAUUAGUUUUCGUUUGCACUCCUUUCUUCUUUUCUUAGAUAUUCUGGGAUUGAACUCCGUCUGAAAUCUAGCAGAUUCAUUUUUAGCUUCUUUCAUUCUCGUUAAUGAGCACUUGAACCUGUCUUUCUCAGGCGCAAAAAAUAUUGCGAGAAGAGCAAAGAAGAGAAUGGCGAUCAGAAUUUGAGUCCUUUCAUACUUUCGUUGAGGAGGAGGAGUUUUCUUCUUGUAUCAUAAUAGGAUAUUUUAGUAGAAUAAGAAGAAGAAGAAGAUAAGACUACGUAGCGUAGUGGGCUUUUCUUAUGGCGGAGCGGAGGAUUCCGACUAUCCACUGAAGAAAGUAGGAAAGCCUAAGGAACCUAAAAAGGGCUAAUAGGGGAAGGAAGAAAGCCUAUCCCUCCAGAAUCUUUGAGGACCGAAGGACUUCUUUAUAUCCCUAUUUAUUUAUUUAUGGGACUCCCAGAAAGGUUUAGUUCCAUAAAUCAGUCGGCUAAUAUAUAGGAUGAAAGUAGAUAGAAAGGAAAAGAAAAAAGUCGUCACUCUUAAGGAGUGCAAGAAGGAAUCUUUGAACCUUUUAUCCUGAUCUCUCUCAUUCUACAACUCAGUCGAGCCACUAUUCAACCUUCUUUUCGAUGGGACAUCAUGUCCUCUUAUCUUAAUCCCAUAAAUCAUUUAAGGCGAUACGGAAACAAGAAAUCCAGAAACUUAAUCCGGUAGAGUCAAUUCGAGACUAAGACGAGUUGGGGUUUCGACCAUAGGCUUUCCUUCCAAACCUACUAUACUAAACCUACCCCCGGACUCAAGGCGCGAAGUGAAGCGGCUGCCCACUUUUUAGAAAUAAAGAGCUGAGAUAAUUCUUUUCACUCAUUGAGGUCGGCUAAAUUCAAUGGAUAAAGAAGUCCUUUGCUUCAUUCUAUAUGUCCUUAUCAAUGAGACCAUUAAUCAGUCCGAAGGACUAUCCAAAGAAAAGAAUAUCCCUGUCUUAUGGGGCCUCCGUAGCUUAAUAUGGAGCGCUCCGGACGAGUCUUAACUAAUAUUCCCAAUCAAAGAAUUAUCGAAAGAAUGAUCGACGAGUCUUAUUCCACUAAAAUAGUAGUCCUUCGGAGCAGUCUUAUACUAAUCUCCUAAAAUCAAAGCUCCAGAUGAGUUUCAUUCCACUAAAAGACGAAAGAAGGUAUCUCAGUUACCAAAGAGAAAGAGCUUCCACAAACCACUUCCACAUAAACUUCUGCUAAGUCUACUUCUGUUAUUGAUUCAACUUAGCCUUUAAUCAGAUUAGGACCUAGCUAGCCAACCUUAUUCCUUCCUCUUCCUUACUUUGUUCUCGCUUGCUUCGGCAGGCACACACUAUCUCUGGAUACUGGAUAAGAGAUCCUUUGGUCAAGCUGCAAGAGAAAGACUUCUUCUCCGAUCGAUCAGCUACCCGAUUCCUCCUUCCCCGAUGAUAAGGUUAGCAGGCCCGAUCCUCUCCUAUUGAAAAAGAAAGCAGAAAUCUUUCAGUCUAGAGGAUUUAUCCGUAGCCCGGAGGAUUUAUCCGUAGCCCGGAGGAUUUAUCCGUAGGACCAUCUGUAAUUAACGCGAAGUAGUCUGCAGUCCGGAGUCCGCAGGAUUUAUCCGGAGGACUAUCCAUAUGGAAGUAGGACCAUCCAUAUGGAAGGAAGUAGUCCGCGAGUCCGCAGUCCGCAGGAUUUAUCCGUAGGACUAUCCAUUUUCAGUCGGACUAUCCAUAUGGAAGGGAGCGAAAUCUAGCUAUGAGGACUCUUUGAGCUCUUCUUUGAGUCAGUGGCUCUGCCACUUGCAGAAGGAGCAGCGAAGUCCGCGGUUUCAGAGGUUUAUGUAGCAGUUCUUCUUUAAUAAGAUGCUUACUUUCUUUCGGGUAGAAAGGUUCACUCGUGAACGGUACACCUCUUAUAUGAUGCCUGGGGACUUUGUCCCUUCUUCUACGGAUUUCUCUUAUAUGAUCUUAUUCAUCUCCGUAUCGUUCAUAUAUUCAUUCUAUAAAAUCCCUAGCUGCCACAGAUGGUCGAACUUGCCUCUUAAGUGGCGUGGGUCGAUCCUCUUGUUGACUUUUUACCUAGGAGUGGGGGGGAAGAAGUUCGAGAAUAAUUUAUCUUCUUUCCUUGUCCCAGUUCUUCUUUCCACUUCUACUUAAGUCACCACGACUGAUACAGAUGCAAGAACAUCAGGGCGAGCAGGGAAGAGGCGGAGGGAGUUUGCACUCUUUUCAUGCGGGUUUGAGUGAGACUGAUGCGCCCUAGGUCAAGCCAUUGCUUCGUCUUGUUCAUCACAUUCAUUAUGUUCACAAUUCCGGAAUCAAAGUAGAAAUACGAGAAAGCGCUCCAGCGGACUCUGAUUCAUUGGGAAUUCUAUCUUCCCGCCUCAAUGAACAAGGUGAAAAGAAUAUUAAAUGAAUCAUUGAGUUGAGGCGGUGGAACCUAGGAGUGGGACCGGGAACAUGAUAGGCUUGAAUCUAAGAAGUGAAUAUAGUAUUGAAAGAGGCCCACGGAGCGGUGUCCGACUAUCCUACUAUCGAAGCCUUGAAGCAUGAGUCUUGAGGUUUUCAAAGUCUACUCAGAGGACGAGGUUGAAGUUUCAUAGGGAAAGGUUUCAUAACAAGCAGUUGUUUUCCGUAUCGAAUGCUCUUUCAUUCCUUAUUCGAAAGAAGGCAAAGAAAGUGGAAACUAAAUCCUUGGAUUCUUUCCCGCUUGAACCAUGAAAGGUUAGGCCUUAGUUACGAUCUCAUUCAAUGCCCUAGCAUACUCAAAGGUUCGGGGGCGUAGUGGAUGGAGCUAGAAGACUACUACUUGGACGAGGGAUUUCCUUUCUCUUAUUGUAAUACUCCUAACCACCCCUUUUUGAAUGGGCAGGCCCCUCUGGUCGAGUUUACCCUUUUUAUUCAGGCCUAUCUGCCUCCGUUCAUGAAGGACAAAAUCGGACUGAGCCCUUGUUCAUUGAGGCGUAUAAGCCCACGUAGCGGUGCCAUAAGACAGGUCUGAAGGCGUCACAGGUCCGGAGGACCCGUCUGUCCGAAGGACGAGAUAUUUAUAAUGUUGAGAGAAAGAUUAGACUUUGUCAGGACCCUUAUUUCCAUUAUUUUUCACUUUCAAUAUUCUUGAGAAUAUUCAUUCAUCCGACAGAGCAAAGUUCAUCCAGAUCCCCAUAUGAAUUAGGCGAAUGACUGAUUUUCAAAGUCAGAGUUAUCCCUCAAAUUCUUUGAGCCUUUGCACUCAAAUUCUCUAAUGGAUAGUCCUUCAGACCGCUAGGAGUAAAGAAUAUUGUGUGGAACUGAACUAAUAGGGAAAAGCAUUUCCUAUUGAUUUGUCCCCUGGACUGGACCUAUUCUGAUUCUGAAUUAUCCGUCGCUACGUUGUUCCCAAGGACUAGCAAAAUCGAAAUAGCGAAAUUCUUGGGUCAUCUCAAUGGGUUCAGAAACCACACGUUUCUCUGGAUCAUCACAGCGUACUUCCACAUAUCCACUCAGAGGAAGGUCUUUUUGUAAUGGAUGACCCUCGAAACCAUAAUAUGUUGAUAUACGGCGUAGAUCCGGAUGAUUGAUGGAAGAAACACCAAACAUAUCCCAAACUUCUCGCUCCCACCGGCCGGCUGAUGGAAAUAGACUGACUACCGGAGAGAUUCGUGUUACUUCGUCUGCACUGGUUUGUACACGAAUGCGUGAGUUAUACCGAGUACUCAGUAAAUUAUAGGCCACUUCAAAUCUGAGUUUUCUAUAUAUAUUUAUAUUGAUGUUAAUAUGUUACCUUGUAAUUGGAAUGGUGAUUUGAAUAAUCUAAUAGGAUUAUGUGUUUGGAUCAAAAUAUGUUGCAAGAGAAAUAGCUAAAUGUGUGGAUUUAGUGACAAAGAGGGUAUUCAUGUGUUUAUUUUAGUUUUCUCAGUGAGGACUCGAUUUUUAGAAGAAACGACCACUGUUCGAAUCAUUCAAAACUUUGUUCCGAACAAAAAUUUUGGACUUUGUCAUUGUCCUCUUCACCGAAUGUGACAAACUUGAAGACAACGAUGAAACAUUGAAAGAUUACUUGGAUCGAAAAUGUCUUGUGGGGUUGAAAGAUACCAUAGCCGCUAGCAAGAACUGUUGCUUGGUUUUCAAUAACAAAACCGAUAAUGAAACAAAGAAGAUUGAAUAAGUGGAUAAACUUAUAAAGAUGGUGCAUGAAGUUGUACAACAAAAUGAAGGAAAAGCAUACACUCAUGGCUUGUUUUCUAAUGUCAAGUUUGAGACCAACUUGCAAGAUGAUGUGAAAACCAAGCUUGAACACACAAUUACAGUUCAAAACACAAGCAAAAUUUAAAGCAUAACAAGGAGCACAAGAAGUUCAACAACAAUCUAUGGAUCAAAUUCGAGUCCUCAAAGACCAUCUAUGCAUCAAGACUUGAAAGGUCACUGUCACUACCAAUGCUUCCACAAAUUAUUCGUCAUGGUCGCUGCAUGAGAAAAGGUUGCAUUAUUGUAUGACUUUACUGUGCAUGCAUUCAAUAAAUAUGUACAAGUAAUUAGUAUAAUGAAUAUAUACUAAAUAAAAAUAUGAAAAAACUGUGAAAAAAAACUUAUUUGAUUAACUGCUAUAAAAUUAAUAUUUGAAAAUUGGCAUGUGUUCUCGAAACUAAUAAAAGCAAGUUUGGAAAUGCCUUUAUUUUGUCUUUGUUGAGUGUAGUGUAAAUUGGGAAAUAUAGAAUGCUUAAUUAUGUUGUUAAUUAAUAAGAAAAUUAUUUUAGAAGUUUUGAUGAAUGUCCAACUACAUGUGGAAAGAAUUAUAAAGGAUUGAAAAAUGAUUCUAUAAUCUAGCCCAAACAAGAGGUGGGUUAUUAUAGCUCACUUCACUUCUAUUUAGUUUGGGACCCAAAUAGCCUCUUAAAAUUAGGUUAACUCCAUAACUAAUAAGGGUCUUUAACUCAUAUAGUCUAAAUUGCUAUAUGAUAUUACAUGAAUGAUCCAAAUUACUAAUAAAUUUCAUAAAAGUCCUAAAUGGACUAGUAUAUUACAUAAAUGUAGGCUCAAAUUACUUUAAUACCAAUUUAUAUUAUUUAAUUGAUUUAUAACAAAUAUCUAAAUGAAAAAAACCGUGGGAUAUAGUUUUGGAAAGAAGUGGGGUCCAAAUUAAUUUAAUAUCAACUUCUAUUAUUUAAUUUAAUUGAUUUAUAACAAAUAUCUAAAUGGAAAAAAUGGUGGAACACCGUUUUGGAAAUAAGUGGGGUCCAAAAUAAUUUAAUACAAAUUUUUAUUAUUUAAUUGAUUUAUAACAAAUAUCUAAAUGGAAAAAAUAAAGAGAUACAGUUUUGGAAAGAAGUGGAAAACUUUUCAUGCUUUCCUUCCACGAAAAUGGUUGUCUACUCCUUUCAACGUGGAUUACGAUUUUUACUUCAAAAUUUUAGAGAGUUCGGAGGUGAAGAAGAAGACAGUCGACGACCGACAAAUACAAAACUUCUCGAACAUAAUCUAGUUAAAAACUUUGAAGUUAGUAUUGUAUAUAUUCAACACAUAUGAAACAUUAGAUAUAUUAUGUAUAUUUUAGACAUUCAAUUAAAUAGUCAAUCAAAUGAAAAUGUAGUUUUGAAUGUGAUACAUUUUAGGGUUUAUUGAGAUUUCGGCGGUGAAGAAGAAAACUUUUGAUGGCCAAAAAAUACAAAACUUAUCCGACAGAAUCUAACUAGAAAAUUUGUGCUUAAUAUUAUAUAUAUUCAAAACAAAUGAUUAGAAACAUUUAGUAUAUUAGGUAUAUUUUAAAUAUUCGAUUAAAUAGACAAACAAAUGAAAAUAUAUGAAACAUUUGGUAUAUUAGGUAUAUUUUAAAUAUUUGAUUAAAUAGACAAACAAAUGAAAAAUUAGUUUUGAAUGUGAUACAUUCUAGAGUUUAUUAAGAAUUCAACGUUGAAAAAGAACGGUCAUCCUAUCAAAAAAAUAAUAGAACUAUAUAUAUAAUAUGAGGUAUAUAUAUAUAAAACAUAGAACAUAACUAUUAUAGAUUACGGAUAUAUUAAAGUAUAAUGUAAUCAAAUACAUUUAUAAAGGAAAAAUAUGUAUGUAUGAUCAUGUCGUUUACUACCGUUUUAGUAAUAUUUAUUCUACAAACACAAAUUCUGUAGGAAUUAUGUAUAAGGUAUUAUUGUAUAUAAUAUGAGGUAUAUAUAUACUAAAUAACAUGUAUGAAUUAAGUGUACAUUUUAUUAGUGAAAGGUUCUUAUAUCAAUUUGUUUAUGAUUUUUAUUUAAAUAUUCAUAUAUUAUGUAGUAAGUAAUACGUUAUGUUUGAAAUAAUAUUGAUUAUGUAUUAAAGUUGCCAUUAGACAGUUUUUUAACAAAAUAUACCUAUUAUAUUAAUAUAGAAAAUGGGAGGAAAUCGUGCAACAUUAAAAUAGGAAACUUCUUUACCAUUUUCUCACUUUCCAUAUUCAACGAAAAGCUUGCCAUUUCGACAGUCAAUGACAUAUACAACAUAUUAUAUAAUGCGAUAAUAUUAUAAAACUAGUAUAAUCAUAAAUAAGAUGUGAUAUAUAUUUAAGGGAAAUAUUAAAAAACUGAUAAAUUCAUAAUAGAAUAACGUUAAAAUAAGGAGAAUAUUGUUAAUAUAAUAUAUAUACGCAUAUGAUAUACUCAUAAUGAACUAAUUUUAAAUGGGUAAAAUAACAAAUGACAUAUUUAUGUUAUUCUUCAUAUAAAACAUCAACUAAAAUAAUAAAGUAUUAUAUCUCACGGUUAAUAUAUAAAACUAUUAUAAAUGUAAACAAGAUGUGAUAUAUAUAUAUAAUAAAUCACAUAUACAACCUAUUAUAUCAUGCGAUAAUAUUUAAAACUAGUAUAAUCAUAAAUAGUAUGUGAUAUAUGUUUAAAGGGAAUAUUAAAAAACUGGUAAAAUCAAAAUAGAAUAACAUUAAAAUAAGAGGAAUAUUGUUUAUAUAUACUAUAUCUCAUAUAUAUACUCAGAAUGAACUAAUUUUAAAUGGGCAAAAUAACAAAUGACUGUGGAUUUUAUCUUAUCUUUAGGUGAUGGACAAUUGUAUAUGACGGCGAUUUGUUAAGAUUCUGCAGCUUACGGUUAUGAUAAAUUUGAAUACAAAUUUAUAAAACAAUGUAAUAAGAAGUUCAAAUGAUGGAGAAGAAUAGCAAAAAACAGUUGUCGGCGAUGGAGAAGAUAAUGUAAUGGCUGCCAGAGAGAGUGAACAAUUAGGUUAAGUUAUAUUUUUAGAAAGAAUAAUUAAAUAGUUUAUUACAAAAUAAAGUAAAAUUACAAUUAUUAUAAUAUAUUCUGAUUUAUAAUUAAUUUAAAAGAUACUUGAAAUUUAUUAACAUAUUAAGGUCUUUUGUCUAAAAGUUUCAACUAAUAAUAAUGAUAGUUGUAAAGCCCCAAAGGUAAAAAAAAAAAAUGUAUAUUUUACAUUUUCUUUUUAUAUAUUUUUAUAUAUAUAUUUUAUUUUAUUAAUUUAAAUAAAAAGAAAUGAAAAAGAAAAUCCUUAUUUAUAUAUUUUUUCUUUUCUUUUCUUUUUUUUUCUCUCUUCUUCUUCCUCCGUGCGCCGCGACCCCCACCCGUCCUCUUCUCCUUCCCGUUCGCAUCAAUCGCCGCCCCAUCCGUUCUCUUCUCUUUCGUUCGCAGCAGCCGUCGGCCGCCGCGUCUCCCCUACUGAAGCCGAGCGCCGCGACCAUUCCUUUCUCCUCUUCUCUUCAGUUCGCAAAGCAGCUGUACGCGUCCAAAUCUGUCGUCGUCCAGAUCUGCACCGCAAGACCUUCCGUCGUUGCGACCGUUGCUCUUUCUCCGCUGCCCAGCCGUCUCAGCCGGUUCUGUCUCCGUCGAAGCCACGGUUCUGCAACCGUCUCCGCCGGUUCUGUCUUCGUCGAAGCUAAGGCCCCCGCGUGAACCAGUAACCGCUACGCUCUCCGCUCACAACCGCCGCUCCACUUGCUAUCGACGUCGGUCGACUAGUUGCUGUAACCGUUCAGAUUUGCUGUAACCGUUCAGAUUCGCGGUCUGUUCGCGACGGUCUCCAUCCGUGAAGCCCAGCCGCCACGUUCCCUUUGGCCGACCGCUGACCGACCCACACUUAGGAUUUUGCUGCAAGUUCGACAGUCGUGCGUUGAGGUGUUGGGAGUAACGUUAGGCUCCCUUGCAUUCACAACCAGUUUGUGAGUUGUUGAGGGUUCAGUUCGCCAAUAUAUCGGUGAGUUGGAACUUACGUUGAGGAAAGUAAGUGAGAUAUGUAUCGUGAAAGUAAUUGAAUUUUGUGUUGUUGUGCUUAGGAUUGUUUCGAGGACGUUAGUUGAUUAAGGAGCUUCCCCAACUUUGAGGUAAGGGAUUUUCUACUGGACUCAAUUGUGAUUGUGAACUGUGAUUGUGAACUGCAUGUGUGUUGAAUGUAUACUGUGGGCUAACUGAAAAUAUAUAUGAAUGUAUAUGAAUUGAAGUAGACUUGACGUCAAAUGUAUAUCGUGAUUGUCAUGGAAUCUAUAUAUAAAUGUGUGUGUGUGGACAGGACGGAGAUUGUAGAUUGUGUUUGUAUGAGAUGCAGAUGUGAAUCUUGUGAUUUUCGUUUAGAUUGGGUGUAUGAUUACGCUAAAGUAUGACUGUGUGCUGGUGAACUGAGGGGUGCAUUGACUGUAUAGUGGAUUGACUGUAUAGUGGAUUGACUGAUGUAUUAGCAUAUUAUUGACAGACAUAUGACUGUAGUAAAAUAAGUUGACUGUUAGGAUGUUGAAAGAAAGAACUUUGUGACUUGAAGUAACUGAAAGAUGGGUUGAAUGGAAUGAGGGGAUAAAUUGUUAGAUUGUAUUGGGAUGUUUACCUUGUAGGUGUCCCACGGGAUCACCAAUUUAUUGUGCACCUUCAAGAGCAUUUGACUGAUAUGUGUUUCUGCAGAACACUAGACUGAUAUGUACGUCCCUCGGGGCGUUAGACUGAUAUGUACGUCCCUCGGGGCGUUAAACUGAGAUCUGUAUCCUACGGGAUCACAAGACUGCGAAUGUACAGAGUGUCCCAAUAGAACUUUAACAAUUUACUUUCCCCUGACGAGACCAGUAGAGGGUCUCUUACUGAGUAUUGUUAUACUCACCCUUCUUAUGUUUAAUUUUCAGGCAAAGGUAAUAAAGGCGGCAAACCGGCGAAGGGCAGGAAGGAAGCGUGAUUGACAUAGGAAAUGUGUCAUUUUGCUUCCGCUUAUGGUUUCUUUUGAGGUUUAAGAUGUACUAAAACUUAGUUUACAAACUUUUAUUUGUAAAUAGUGUUAUUUUUAAGUUUUCUUGAACAUUUGAAAAUCAGGCCUGACAUAAAUUGUUUUUAAAUUGACUUACGUUUCAUUUUGUAUCAACCAAAGUCUUUUGUUAAAAAUUAACGACCUCGACUUACCUAGAAAAGUUGGGUCGUUACAAUAGUUCUCAUUAACCAAUUGACAAAUGAAUGAUAUUGUCAAAUGAUCGAUAUUGUCAAAUGAUCGAUAUGUGCAAGUGCACAUUUCAAUUAUAUUAUAGUAAAACGUUCUUAGAGAUCGAGCUAGUAUCCUUUUAAGAGGGAUCAAAUUAACAAAUUAAUUUAUUGAUUUUAGGAUUAGGAUGUGUUUUAAGGAUAAAAACAAUGAUUAGAAACUAAUUAACUACAAGUUGUUGACUUUUGAAAAGAAUAUCUUUCCAUUCAAACAUAAUUGUUCCUAAUCUCUUCCAACUAAGUUAAAUAUUAUGGUAUUAAACAGAUACAUAGUUUGGUUGGUAGUUUCUCUUCAAAAUUAUUAUUUUGAGAAAACAAAUACAAUUUCUUUUUAUGUAAUCCAAUAUCCUCAAGUAUAUUUAUAAAUAUGGAAAUAUUAUUUCCAUAUUAGAAGAGAUACUAAAAGAUCUUAUUACAACAUCAUUAGAGUCCCAUCAUUUUCUCUAAAUAUCUCUUUUGUGGUGAAAGAUUUGGAAUUGCACAUCAAUCAUUUUGGAGUGGGUAAUUGAUCACCCUAUUUUUCAAAAAAUAAGAAAGAUAAAAAAUAGUUAUUUUUUUAAAGAUAUAUUUGAAAGUGUUGAGUUUAUGGAAGGUAUUAGUACUUAUACAACCACGAAACAUUUGAUUUUUGUUAUCUAAAUUAUUUUAAUAAAAAUGUUUUUUUUUUUUUUUGAAGUUUAUGCUUAUUAAAAAUGCUUAUUUAAAAAAUGUUAAUGAAAUUUUAAAAAAUAAAAUCUAAUUAAACACUUCUGAGAUAGAGAGGUUUCCCUUGACUACCCGAGCGUAGAUAAACACUUCUGAGAUUUGGUUGGUAAUCCUAAGUUCGUGUGCAGUUGAUUAUUUUUUAAAUUUUGUAUAGUUGAAUAAUAUUUGAAUUUUAAAUUUUCAUCUAUGUGAUAUUUACUCAUUUCAAACUUUUUGAAUAUGCAUGUUUAUUUAUUAUUCUGUCGUCUCUCUAUUGUAUUUUAAAAUAUAGAAUAUGUGUAUUUAUAUUAUUUGAAAUUGAAAAUUUAACUUUUACUCUUAGAGUAGGCUUUAACUCUUUGUUUGUCCGUGUUGUAGGUGAGCGAGAAGGAAAAGUUCCAUUGUUUGAUUGAAUUGGAAUUGUUUCCUGCAUGGGGUGUCAUACAUAAUUCCACUUAUUACUAGUUGAAGGUCUUCUUUGCCUCUGUCUUCUUCCCCAUCUCCCCAAGUUGUUCUAACCUUUUUAUAUCUACCUAUUACAUGUCAAAAGGUUCGCUCUUCAAUGUUUUGAAACAAGUUCAUUAUGAAAAUCUCUCACAAGCAAACGUAUGUGCAUUAUGAAUAAUUUCAUCUCAAAAAAAUUGUUUGAGAGGUUUCAAAAGUGUAUCGAAACUAAUAAUUUUAAUGAAUAAAAAAAUAAUUCUUCGUUAGAUUCUUACAUUUUAUUUCAACGAACAAAAUUUAGGAAAAUUUUUAAAAAUAGCAAAUUUUACAAAAAUAUUUACAAUUUAUAACAAAUUUAUAGUCAUUGAUAUGAUAUAACGAUAGUUACUAAUAAAUAUUUUAAUUUAUUUUGUUAUUUUUAAAAAUGCUCAUAAAAUAUUAUAGUGAGGGAACAAUGAUGAAUCACAUAGUUCUUGUGGUGAUGUCGCUUUUUCUCCCUCUUUACAUUCUAAAAUCUCAAAUACAAAUCAUAAAACAAGUAGAUAUACAUUCAAUUAGCAUGAUUUUGAUUCUAAUAAAUUAGAAAGACAAAAAUAACUAACUAAUUAUGGAAAAGUAAUAUUUUAACAUGAAUUAUUGAUUUUUAAUUAGAGGUAAUUUUAAAAUAAAUAAAAUAAAAGAAAAUAUUACAAAUCAAAUCUAAACUAACUUUGAUUUUACUUCUUUAAUUGCAAUAUAACAUAGAUACAUUGGCUAUGAAGUGCAAUUUCUUAUAUUAUAAUAUUUAAAAGAUUUAAAUUUAAAAAUAAAAAUAAGUAAUCUCAAGUCCAAUAUUGGACCCGUGGGCUUAGCCCAUCAAUUUAAAAAUUCAAAAUGCACACUCAACCGUCACAUUUUCCUAGGAUCAUCCUAUUUAAUGCCCUUCUACUUGUCAACUCCAUCGAAAUCCUUCAUUUCUUGUGGCACCGUCUAAAAUUUGCUUCGAUUGAAGAAAUUUUGACGCCCAUGACAGCGUUGAAAUUUCUUCAAUGCAAACAAAUUUUUUAUCUUCCUUUCAUCGAGGAUUUUCAUACCAUGUGAAGGAGAGAUCAGUUCCAUCCGUUCCAAGUCGUUCGUGAGUCAUCUUCUUUCCUGUGUAGUUUUCAUCUCUUGAUUUUGGAUUGCUUGUUCAAGAUUUAUUUUCGAAUUUUGGAUUGUUUGCUAUUCGGAUAGGCAGAAGGUUUGCACGAUGAUAGAUCUGGAGUACCUGAAUCGUUUAUUGAUUCUGUAGUUUAAUCUUAUGAUUUUGGUGAUUUCGAAGCGUACAAUAUAAUCGUACUGUGUUAUGAAGUAAAUAAGAUUUUGUAGGGUUUUUGAAAGUUAAUUUAGAUAUUUCCUGCAUUUUAGUCUUGAUAGAUCUGGGGUACCUGAACCGUUCAGGUUUGCAUGCUGUGAUUGUGUUGUUCUUUUUUGAUUUUGGAGAGAGUCCUUGGGUAAUUUUGAGGAUUGUUCUUUUUUUAGUUUUUUUUUGCAUGCAUUCAAACACACGCAUGGUUUUUAAACUGGGGUUCUUGAAUAUUUGUUGGUUUUCUCGAAUAUUUGCCGGUUUUUUUUUCUCAGAAGAAUUGAUCUUAUAUUUGUGUAUCUCUCUGUGCAACUUUAAUAUAAAGUUAUUAAGGAAGAAGAGAAAGGAGGAAGAAGGGAGAGAGAAAAGGUAGAAACGACCUAAUAGUAGGCAUGAGUAUUAAGAUGCAGCAGAGCCACCACUUAGUGGCGCUAAGGUUUAAUGAGCAAAUUGACAGUAGAAAAGGGUCCACAUCCAUACCUAAGUUACUAUUGCUCUGGGUUCUGUUGGUGGCAUUCAUUAGUAUGUUAAACUACAAAGAAAUGGAUGGGUGGGUGUUAACAAAGUUAGAAGAAAGUAAGUUCUGGGAAGUAUGUGUGACCAGACGACAAAGAUGUUUCUUAGUGUCAGUGUCAAACUAUGUCCAGGCUUUGGCCAUUCUCAUUUCCAUUUUCCAGUACUUCAAAAUCGUAUCAGCAAUUGAUCAGGAAAAUGUGUUUCGAUUUCUGUCUUUUAUUAGUCUCGGUUAGUUAGGCUUAAGAGUAAGGGAUAUAAUUCAUUUUUCUUGUUUCAGCUAGAAAUUACGUCGAUGUCUUGAUUUUUAGUUUUUUUAGGGCUGUUUGGUUGUUUUUUUAGGGGUGUUUGGUUAGUUAGGCCUAAGAAGUAAGGGCUAGUGAAAGAGAAGCAUUUGAUUGUCCUACAAGUAUCUGAAUCGCCAAUGAAAGCAGAGGUUAUUUCCUCUGAAUUUCCACGAAUUGUUCAGGUUUGGAUUCUGUGAUUGUGUUGUUCUGUUGUUCUCUUCUUUAUUUUGGAGUGUUCUAGGAAAUUUUGAGGUUUGUUAUUUUUUAGUUUUUUUGGCUUGCCUUUAAUCACGCUCGUUUGGGAAUAGACAGGCUUCAGAGAAUGAAUCUCCUUUUUAAGGGUUCGUUGGGGAGCGAAGUGACCAUAUGGCAUCCCUUUCUGCACCUGCUCAGUCUCUCUCUUGCCUUUUUCAUACUACAUAUUUUUGUUUCUCAAUUUAGUGUCAGUGUCAACCAUGUCUAUGCUUUGGCCAUUCUCAUUUCCACUUUCCACUACUCUAAAAAUGUAUCUGCAAUUGAUCAGGUAAAAGUGUUUCAAUUUUCUGUCUUUGGUUCAUCUCCGUUAGUUAGUCUUAAGAGUAAGGGAGAUAAUUCGUUUUUCUUGUUUCCCUCCAUGUAUUGAUUUUUAGUUUUUUAGGGAUGCUUGGUUGGUUUGAAUGCACGAAACAUUUGCUGGUACACGAUUCAAACAGCUUGCCCAGUCAUGUUUUUCUAUUUUUUUUUAAUAUUUUGGAAUUUUGCAUGUGUGAUUUCUGUAUAUAUUAUUCUUGCCCUUUUCCUUUAUCAUCAUUUAUUUUGAUUUUGGAGAGGUCUCUUGGUUAUUUGUUAUUUGCACAUAUACAAGGGUUGAAAAUUUCAAUCCCACCUCUCUUUUAUAUUACAUUCAUUUAGUUUUGGCUGUUAUCUAAUUGAACUAUUUGAUCAUCAAAUAAUUGUGUUACCUUUUCUUCUAGAUGUUUAGAUUCAUUUUUCUCACUCUUUUAGUUUUCUUAAUGUGUGACAGUCUUUGUUUUUUAUUGAACUAUUGUGUGGCAGUCUUUAUUUAUUGGUUAUCUUUAGUUUCACUAUUGUUCUUUUUUUAAUGUUUUCUUAGUUUUUAAUAAGUGUGACAAAAUAUGAAUUAAUUUUUUUCUUUGAACAAAUGUGGAAUUUAUUUUCUUUUAAUGUAGUUGUGUCCCCAAUAAAUUUAUUUUGGCGAUUUAACAAUCCAUCAUGUUCUUUUUCAUUUUUCUGUUGUAUUUUCUUCGGUUCUUUGUUGUGGUAUGUCUAUUUUUGAGACAUUCUUAAUUUAGUUUUAUUUCUUUUAGCUUCCUGCAUCAUUUUGUAUUAUGGAUUGUUAUGAAAUUUUGAGAUUAUGCUUUAUUUUGUUUUUUGGUCCUUUGCUGUGAUGUCUUUUGAUUAUUUAUUUUGAGUGAACAGUUCAUGUAAGAUUUUCUGCAUGAGAAUAAAUUGAUUAUUUAAUUUGGUCAAAGAAGUUCAAAAUUUACAUGUGAAAUUUACACUCAGUGGCUGUAAGGUUUAAUGAGAAAAUUGGAAGUAGAAAAGAGUCCACAUUAAUUCAUUCAGCCAAGAGGGCUUGGCAUCCUAAGUUUGCUCUGGGUUCUGUUGGUGGCAUUCAUCAAUAUGUUAAUCUAUUAGGGAAUGUAUGGUUAUAACAAAGUAAGAAGAAUGGAAGUUCUGGGGGAGUAUUUGUGACAAGAGGGCAAGGAUGCUUCUGCAUCAAUUUAGUGUUAGUCAAUCAUGUCUAUGCUUUGGCCCUUCUCAUUCCACUUUCCACUACUACAAAAAUGUAUCUGCAAUUGAUCAUGUAAAAGUGUUUCAAUUUUCUGUCUUAGGUUCAUCUCAGUUAGUUAGUCUUAAGAGUAAGGGAGAUAAUUCAUUUUUCUUGUUUCAGCUAGAUGUUACCCUCCAUGUCCUGAUUUUUAAUUUGGCUUCCUAAGUGUGCUCUAGGUUCUGUUGGUGGCAUUCAUCAGUAUGUUAAUCUACAGGUGAAUCUAUAGUUAUAACAUAGUAAGAAGAAUGGAAGUUCUUGGGGAGUCUUUAUGUGUGACGGUCUUUGUUUUUCAUUGAACUAUUGUGUGGCAGUCUUUAUUUAUUGGUUAUCUUUAGUUUCACUAUUGUUCUUUCUUUAAUGUUUUUCUUAGUUUUUAAUAAGUGUGACAAAAUAUGAAAUUAUCUUUUUCUUUGAACAAAUGUGGAAUUUAUUUUUCUUUUAAUGUAGUUGUGUCCCCAAUAAAUUUAUUUUGGCGAUUUAACAAUCCAUAAUGUUGUUUUUCAUUUUUCUGCUGUAUUUUCUUUGGUUCGUUGUUGUGCGAUGUCUAUUUUUGAGACAUUUUUAAUUUAGUUUUAUUUCUUUUAGCUUCCUGCAUCAUAUUGUAUUAUGGAUUUUUUCGAAAAUUUGAGUUUGAUCUUGUUUUCCUGGUCCACUGCUGUGCAGUUUUUUUUUAUGAGAUAUUUUUAUUUAGAUUUAUUAUCUUUUAGCUUGUUUUGCAUUUUGCAUUAUAGAUUAUUUUUUAAAAUUUUGAGGUUGUUUUUUUUCUUUGAUCUUUUGUUGCGGUGACAAUUUUAAUUUAGAUUUAUUAUCUUUUAGCUUGCUUGCAUUAUGGAUUGUUAUGAAAUUUUGAGAUGAUGCUUUAUUUUGUUUUUUGGUCCUUUGCUGUGAUGUCUCUCUAUAAGACAUUUUUAAUUUAGGUUUAAUAACUUUUAGCUAGCUUGCAUUGUGGAUUGUUAUGAAAUUUUGAGUUUCUGCUUUCUUUUGAGUUUUGGUGAUGCCUUUUUACGAGACAUUUUUUAAUUUAGGUUAAUUUUUUAGGUUGCUUGCAUUUAUGGAUUGUUCUGAAAUUUUGACUUUCUGCUUUUGUUUUUUAUGUCAUUUGUUGUGUGAUAUUCUCUUUAUAAGAUAGAGAUAUUUUUAAUUUAGGUUUACUAUUUUUUAGCCUGCUUGCAUUUGGUAUCAUAUAUGAAUUGUUCUGAAUUUUGAGUUUCUACUUUUUCAGUCAUUUUUUUAGGGCUGUUUGGUUGUUUUUUUAGGGGUGUUUUGGUUAGUUAGGCUUAAGAAGCAAGGGCUAGUGAAAGAGAAGCAUUUGAUUGUCCUACAAGUAAUAAGCUUCUCCUCAAUCAUUCAACCAUUUUUUUAGUAAAGAAAGAGGCUUCUCCUCUGGCAACCAAAGUCCGUCCCUCGUUAACAGGUAAGUCUACCUCAUUACUUUUUAUGUCCUUUUAAUUAAGAUAUUUGGGUCAAUAUAUAUCAAAAUAAAUAAGAUCCAUCUUUGGUAAUUUUUAAAAAAAUUAAAUCUAUAAAUACUCAUUUCAUCUCUAAAAUUAUGUGAUUUGUACUUUCUAAAAUUCCCUCGAUGGUACUAAUACACUCUUAUAUUUGUAUUGUAAUUAUCAUGUCCUUUUUCUAUGGUUUUUUAAAGUUAAUUUAGAUCCUUAUUCGCUCUAGGUAUAAGUUGAAUGGAAGAGUUUUUUAGCCUUGAUGGAUCUUGAGUACCUGAAUCGCCGAUGAAACAGAGGUUAUUUUCUCGAAAAUUCCACGAAUUGUUCAGGUUUGGAUUCUGUAAUUCUGUUGUUCUUUUUUGAUUUUGGAGAGUGUCCUGGGUAAUUUUGAGGAUAUUAUUUUUUUGUUUUUUCGGCUUGCAUUUAAUCACGUGCGUUGGGGAAUAGACAGGCUUCGGAGAAUGAAUCACCUUUUUAAGGUUUCGCUGGGGAGCGAAUUGGCCAUAAGGCAUCCCUUUCUGUUCAGUCUCUCUCUUGCCUUUUUCAUACUAUAUGGUUGUUUGAUCUGGGGUUAUUGAAUGAUUGUUGCUUUUAUUUUCAUAAGAAGUGAUCUUAUAUUUUUGUCUCUCUGUGCAACUUUAAUUUGAGGUUAUUAAGGAAGGAGAUAAAGGAGGAAGAAGGGACGGAGAAAAGGAAGAAAUGACUGGAUUGUUGGGAUGGGUAUGAAGAUGCAGUAGAGCCACCACCUAGGUAAGGUCUAAUGGGCAAAUUGAAAGUAAAAAAGAGUGCACAUCCAUUCAAGCUAAGAGAGCUUGGGUUCCUAAAUUACUACUGCUCUAGGUUCUGUUGGUGGCAUUGAUUGGUAUUGUUAAUCUACAAGGGAAUUGAUGGUGUUAACAAAGUUAGAAGAAAGGAAGUUUUGGGCGUAUGUGUGACCGGAGCACAAAGAUGCUUCUGCAUCAAUUUACUGUCAGUGUUAAACUAUGUCCAUGCUUUGGUUUAUUUUCUAUUUUCUACUUUCCACUCCUCUCGAAAUGUAUCAGCAAUUGUUCAUGUAAAUGUGUUUCGAUUUCUGUUUGAUACUUCUCAGUUAGUUAGGCUUAAAAGUAUGAGAGAUAAUUCAUUUCUCGUCUCAUAUAGAAAUUAUCUUGAUGUCUUGAUUUUUAGGGUUUUUUUCAGCGGUUUUUGGUUUUUUUUUUUUUUUUUUUGGAUUUUGGCUAGUUAGGCUUAGAGGUGCAAGGACUUGUGAAAGAGAAGCAUUUGAUUGACCAACGAGUAAUUAGUUUCUCCUCAAGCAUCCCACCACUUUUCUAUUAAAGAAAUACAGGUACGUCUACGCUAUUACUUUUCAUGUCCUUUUACUUAAGAUAUUUAUAUAAAUAUAUAUAAAAAUAAAUAAGAUCCAUCUUUGGUAAUUUUUUUUAAAAUCAAAUCUGUGAAUAUUCAUUUCAUCUCUAAAGUUUUGCGUUUUGUUACUUUUUAAAAUUCCCUCCAUGUUACUAUUACACUCCUAUAUUUGUGUUGUAAUUAUGAUGUCCUUUUUCUAUGGUCUGUUAAAGUUAAUUUAAAUCCUUUUUUGCUCUUGGUUUAUGUUGAAGAAAUGGAAGAGUUUUUUAGCCUUAAUAGAUCUGGAGUACCUUAAUCGCUCUUGCAUUUUGUGAUUCUGUUCUUUUUCUAUUUUGAAGAGUGUCCUGAGUAAUUUUUAGGAUUUUUAUUUUAUAGUUUUUGUCGCUUGCAUUUAAACACGAACUUGGUUGUUGAACUGGGAUUCUUGAAUAAUUGUUGGUUUUGUUUUCUGAAGAAGUGAUCUUAUAUUUGUGUAUCUCUAUGUGCAACUUUAAUAUGGGGUUAUUAAGGAUGGAGAUAAAGGAGGAAGAAUGGAGAGAGAAAAGGCAGAAAUGACUUAAUUGUUGGGAUGAGUAUGACCCCAUGUCUAGUAGUUCCCAAGUAUGAUAUAGGAAGGCAGAGAGUCAAGGCCUUGUCUGACUCUAAUAGAAGUAAGUAGCUAACGCAACGCAAUAUUCUUUGCACCUUCAGUCUGUGAAUCUGAGGAGCAAGAGUUUGGCCAGAGGAGCUAGUCUCGUAACUGCGGGCGCAGUUCUAGUUCUUUACAAGACAGAUGGGAACUGUAGCUAACAAGUGUGCCCUGAGUGGAAUCCUACCACUACUCUUUCUACUAUAUUGGCAGGACGGGUGCCAAGUUAUUAGUAGCUAGGCAGCUAAGCCAGUAGUAGUUCAGUUCAGGUGCUGUUCUCAAACCUAGUUGACUACGUUGUAGCGUAGCGGUACGGGACAGAAAAAGAAUUGAUAGCGGUACACUGAACACAAAGAAAUUUGAUAGACAUAUGUUGAGAGUUCGACAAGUAGCACUGAAUCUACUAUCAGUAGUGAUUUAUAGAAGUUGACUCGCUUAAACGAAGAGAGUGAACAAAGCAUAGCGGAGUGAAGAGAGAAAUGGUUUCAUUAGAUAGCUCUCUCGAUGUCCUUGUUAUCUUUCCUAGGUAGAUUGUGACUUAUUCAUUCUUUCUCGCUGACUCUAGUUUCCCCGCCGUGGAUCCUUUCUCGGUUAGGGCUGUAAUUUAGAAUUCAGAAACGUAUCUGUCUUAUUAUCUUUGAGUCAAAGCAAUGUUACAUAUUUAUAUAGAGAAUAAACUAAACCCUAGAGACUAUGUAAAAUUACAAUAAAGGACAUAUGUGUAUAUAUAUAUAUAUAUCAUAACACUCCCCCUCAAGCUGGAGCAAAUAUGUCGAUCAUGCCCAGCUUGUUGCACAGAUAGCUUAUCCUUGUUCCAUUUAAAGCUUUAGUUAGAAUAUCUCCCAAUUGUUCUCCGGUCUUCACAUAUCCUGUGGACACCAACCCAUCUUGGAUUUUCUCACGAAUGAAGUGACAAUCCACCUCAAUAUGUUUAGUUCGUUCAUGAAAUACUGGAUUAGAUGCAAUAUGAAGUGCAGCUUGAUUAUCACACCAUAAUUUAGCUGGCACGGUAAUACUGAAGCCUAUCUCAGAUAAUAGUUGGUGAAUCCAUACUAUUUCACACACAGAUUGUGCCAUAGCUCUAUAUUCUGACUCAGCACUCGAACGAGAAACAACAUUUUGUUUCUUACUCUUCCAUGAAACUAAGUUUCCACCUACAAAAACACAAUAUCCAGAAGUCGAUCUCCUAUCCUCACGAGACCCCGCCCAAUCAGCAUCAGAAAAACAUUCAACUCUCGUAUGUCCAUGAUCUUUGUAUAGGAUCCCACGUCCAGGAGCAGCUUUUAGAUAACACAAAAUCUGCUCUACUGCAGCCCAAUGAUCCACUGUAGGGGAAGACAUGAAUUGACUUACAACACUUACAGAAUAUGCAAUGUCUGGUCGAGUCACUGUUAAGUAGUUCAACUUCCCAACUAAUCUCCUAUAUCUCUCAGGAUCUUUACAUAAUUCUCCUUCUUUAACAAGUUGCUGAUUUGGCAUCAUUGGAGUGCCACUUGGUUUGGCGCCUAAUUUUCCUGUUUCAGACAACAAAUCAAGUACAUAUUUUCGUUGAGACAAAUAAAUACCUUUCUUGCUUCUCAUCACUUCAAUGCCCAAAAAAUAUUUCAAUUGGCCCAAAUCUUUUGUAUAAAACUGACCCUGAAGGAAAGUUUUGAGAGACGAAAUACCCAAUGCAUCAUUUCCAGUAAUAACAAUAUCAUCAACAUAUACAACUAGUAGAACUAUACCCUUCUCAGAUCGGCGAUAGAAAACUGAAUGAUCAGAUGUACUCUUCUUCAUACCAAAGCAUACAAGGGCUGACUAAACUUACCAAACCACGCACGAGGACUCUGUUUCAAACCAUACAGAGAUUUUCGAAGGCGACAUACUUUAUCACUCUCCCCCUGAGCAACAAACCCUGGUGGUUGUUCCAUAUAAACUUCCUCUUGAAGAUCACCGUGAAGAAAAGCAUUCUUAAUGUCAAGUUGAUGCAACGACCAUUUAUUGGUAGCAGCCAUGGAAAGAAAUAGGCGAAUGGAAGUUAACUUGGCAACCGGAGAGAAUGUAUCUGAAUAAUCAGUGCCAUAGAUUUGAGCAUAACCUUUGGCAACAAGGCGAGCCUUUAAACGAGCCACUGUUCCAUCAGGAUUCAUCUUGACAGCAAACACCCAUUUACAACCAAUGGCCUUCUUUCCUGCAGGACGAGAUACCAAAUCCCAAGUAUCAUUAUCAUCUAAAGCAGUCAUCUCCUCAAUCAUUGCAUUUUGCCAGCGAGGAUGAGACAAAGCUUCAUGAACAGAGUUAGGAAUAGAUGUGGACUCAAGAGACGUAAUAAACGCAUAUGUGGAGGGAGAUAACUGGUGAUAGGAAAUAAAGGAAGAAACGGGGUAAGUACACUUGCGUUUACCUUUGCGAAGAGCAAUGGGAAGAUCAUCACUUGGCGCUGGAUCACAUGAUGAAGGAAGCAUUGAUGGAGGACAUGAGUCUGAAGGUUGUGGUGGAGGUCGUCGGGAGUAGACUUGAGAAAUCAACGGGCGGGAAGGAGGCACAUCAGUAGACAAGGAUGGUGUGGGAGAGGUAACCUCAUAUAUAAAAAGAUUGUCAUCCUCCCCCUGACACAAACUCGAUGGUGAUGAAGUAAAGGGUGUAUCUUCAAAAAAGACAACAUCAGGCGAAACCAGAUACCUUUUAAGGGUAGGACAAUAACAACGAUAACCCUUUUGAACACGUGAAUAACCCAAGAAGAUACACUUCAAGGAUUUGGGAUCUAACUUAGUAUGAUGAGGACGAACGUCACGAACAAAACAGACACAACCAAAUAUCUUAGGAGCAAUAGGAAACAAAUGCUUGGUAGGAAAAAGAACACGAUAGGGAAUCUCACCAUUAAGAACAGAGGAAGACAUUCUAUUAAUCAAAAAACAAGCUGUAGAGACAGCAUCAACCCAAAAGAUUUUUUAAACAUGCAUUUGAAACGAUAAAGCACGGGUAGUUUCAAGUAAAUGCCUAUUUUUCCGCUCUGCAACACCAUUUUGAGAUGGAGUGUCAGCACAGGAAGAUUGAUGAAUAAUGCCAUUUUCACACAAGUAAGAGCCAAGAGAAUGAGAAAAAUAUUCACCCGCAUUAUCAGUACGCAAAGUUUUGAUAGAGACAUUAAAUUGGUUUUUUAUUUCAGUAUGAAAGGCACAAAAAUGAGAUAAUAACUCAGAACGAUUUUUCAUUAAAUAUAACCAAGUUAGACGAGAAUGAUCGUCAACAAAAGUAACAAAAUAACGAAAGCCUGUUUGAGAUACAACUGGACACGGACCCCAAAUAUCAGAAUGAACUAACUCAAAUGGAGCAAUUGCUCGUUUAUCGACUCGAGGACUCGAACUAAGACGAUGAAAUUUCGCAAAUUGACACGAAUCACAAUUUAAAGAGGACAAAGACCUAAAUUCUGGAUAAAGUUUCUUCAACACGAACAAAGAUGGAUGACCUAAACGACAAUGGACUUCAAAAGGAGAGGGAACGACAGGACACGCCACAGCUUGCGAUACUUGAUGAUCAAAGAGAUAAAGGCCUCCUGACUCAUAUCCUCUACCAAUAAUCUUCUUCGUCACACGAUCCUGAAACAAGCAAUAACCAGAAAAGAACAUGACAACACAAUUUAGGUAGGUCAUGAGUAAGUUGACUAGUAGAAAUUAAAUUAAAGGAUAAGUUAGGCAAAUGUAACACAGAAGAGAGUGAAAAUGAUGGGGUAAGGUGAAUAGUGCCAGAGCCAAGAACAGAAGAUGUGGAGCCAUCGGCCAAUGUAACCGAUGGAAAAGGGGCAGGGGACAACGGUCUAGAAAAUAGGUGAGAAUUACCUGUCAUAUGAGCUGUGGCACCAGAGUCUAUGACCCAUUUGGUAGAUGAUGUAAGAAGACACUUUAUAUUACCUGGGGCAACAGUGGAUGCAAUCAGAGUAGAGGAAGAUGACGCUUGUAAUGACUCUUGGUAAUUCUGAAACUUAGCAAACUCAUCUGCCGAAAUAGUAACUGACGCCUCUGGUAUAUCACAUGUGGAGGCUAUCUGAGCAUGUUGAGAUCGUUGACUAUUCUUAUAUAGCAAUUUCUGACAAUCACGUUUCAUAUGGCCUGGCUUACGACAGUAGUUACAAACAAUCUCUACAGACUCUGGUUUUCGAUGAUCAGUACUAUUCCUCUGAGGUGCCCGAGGGUUAUUGUUAUUGUUCUUGCUAAAGAGAGCACUACUGGGUUGAGGAAUAGACACACUAGUCGGAGAGCUUUCAAUGCGAAGGACUCGAGUGAAGGCAUCAUCUAAUGAUGGAAUCUUGGAGUCAGAGAGAAUCUGUGUCUUUGCCAUUCCAAAUUCAGGUAAGAGUCCAUUCAGGAAAAUCAUAACAGCCAUCUUCUCUCGUUGAACUUGUUGAACUUUAACAUCAGGACUAAAAGGUAACAACAAGCCAAGCUCGACAAUGAUCUUCUUAAGCCGCAUAAAGUAGCUGGUGACAGACUCAGCUUUCUGUUCCGCACGAGAAAAUUGCAUACAAACUUCAAACAUUCUAUGCACUUGCUCUUUACCUGAGUAUAGAAAAUCCAAAAAUUCCAAAAGUUCUUUAACAGACUCACAGUGAUCAACCAAUCCAAUUAUCUCACUCUCAAUUGAAUUCUUGAUCUGAAGAUAUAAACGGGCAUCAUCACGAAGCCAAUCCUUCUUCUGCUUUGCAUCUUUUGGGAGAUCGAGUUUCAAACCUUUAUACACAAAAUUGAAACUCAAAAUUCACUUCCUUCCUUCCGCAAGGCCGAUAUCUUUCAUAGCAAGCAAGGAUGAGUCCAUUAGGUUCUUCGAUUGAUUCGGAAAAGAAAUGAGAGACAAGAAAAGAUCUUUGAUGGAGAUGAAAAGGAAGAAUCUCAAAUAGACCAAGAUCCAAUUUCGGGUCAUUUCUUGGUGAACAUGAUCUGCCAUAAUCUCUUCGAUCCCUGAAUUUAUGUGCCAGAAUAAAGAGAGAUUUGGUAGGAAAGUGGAAGAGACCUUGUGGUAUAUAAUAAUGAGAGGGAGUGGGAAAGCUGCUGUAAUUCUUUGGAAAAGCCCGGUUCUUUUUGUCUUCGAGCUUGAAUUCCUCAAUCCACUCUUUCGUUCUUUCAUAUACCUCCCCACCAAUAGAUAGAGACAAAUAGGAAUAACCGAACCACGUCUACAAAAUGCCAGUACCAUGCAGCUGCUUCAAAGCCAAUGUGAUGCUCCUUGGUCGGAUGACCUAGAUAUUGGCGAAUACCACAUACGAUCAAGAAAAGAGUACCUAUAAUCACAUGAAAACCAUGAAAGCCAGUUGCUAAGAAAAAGGUAGAACCAUAAAUACUAUCCGAAAUAGUGAAGGGUGCUUGAUAAUAUUCCAUUCCUUGAAAGCCUGUGAAUACUAGAGCCAGUGAAACGGUAGCUACUAAAGCGUAAACAGCUCGUUUUUCCUUCCCCGCGAGUAUAGCAUGAUGAGCCCAAGUUACGGCUGCUCCGGAUGAAAGGUGAAUAGGGGUGUUAAGAAAAGGGAUUUCCCGAGGAUCUAAAACCCCAAUCCCUUUUGGGGGCCAAAUAUCUCUGAUCUCUACCGUAGGUGCCAAAGAAGAAUGAGAAGAAGCCCGAAAGAAGCAAAAAGGAACAUAACCUUCGAUACGAUAAAGAGAAUAAAACCAUAUCGAAGUCCUAUUUUUACGACUUUGGUAUGAUGUCCUUCCAACGUGGAUUCACGUAGAACAUCGCGCCACCAUACGAACAUGGUAUAUAGGAGAAAUAUGAGGCCCAAACUGAGAAGUCUUGCACCCCCUUGAAAUGAGUGCAUGUACAUCACACCUCCUACGGUGGUUGCCAAAUGAUAAGAAUGCCUCUGAGAUUCAAUCAUAAACCACUUUGCCUCGGUUGUAUGUAAACCCCCCCUUCACCCCCACCCGCUAAAGUGGUAAAGAAGGGCUCUUUGGGGUCUCAUUUUCUUUCUAUCUGACAGGACUCAAAAAUAGGAAGGGAUGGUUCUUUCAUUGCAUUGAUAGAAGUCUAACUAGAAAAAGAUCUCGUUGCUUUGACCGAGCCCUAGGCUUUCCUUGGAUAGAGCCCUCUAUAUUCCGACUGAUUUAUGGCGUAGAAGGCGGGAAUAGGAAUCACUCAUAUUGCAUUGAGCCUUAACAGUCCGGAGGACUAUCCCGCUCCGUGGGAUUCUUUGAGCCUCACAAUAUUCUUUGCACCUAUCCAUCCACGGCAAUAUUCUUUGCACCUUCGCUCCAAAUAAAGUAAUAGCCGCAACUCAAUUCAUUUCAGCCUUCGCCUAGAAAUUCACUUUGCGACCCACUCUGUAAGCCCACUACACGAGAAGAAAGAAUAUCCUUAGCUAUUUAUCUUUAUUAUCUCUUCUCUGAGAAUAUCCUCUUAUUCUACUAUUAGAAGAAUAUCCUACUUUCAGUUUCUAGUCAAAGAAAGGUCCAGGCGCAGGCGCAAAGAAUAUUGCGAGGUGCAGUCUAAUGGAUAGGACUGAGGGCUCGACUGAAAGGAGAGAAGGCGCAAUUCAAUAUGCGAGGUCCAUAUUCCGACUGAGGAACUGAAACUUCCGCGUAGUGCUUCCCUUGUUCAUUGAUAGUAAUCCUGAAGUUUCUUCUUGGCAUCAAAAUAGAUCAAUGAAAGAGGACUAAAAAUAAGACGAAAGUACUUAUGACGGCUUUCCUUCCCAACAAAUCUUCGUUCUUAGUUAUUUGAUUCCACUUUCAAACUUUCUGGGAGUUGUCUUCUCCUAGGCUUUCUUCUUUCUGGCAGUCUUCUGCCUUGCCGUAGGGAGUAGGUUCAGGAGAACCAUAACCAUAAAUCAGAGAGACGGAGGCAUCAAUCACGCAAUAUUCUUUUGCACCUCUUCCUUUAAGCUAUAUUUUUUUAGGCUCCGGAGGCUCAAAGACAGGGAUAUUGUUGAAUACUAUUAGUUCGAGUCGCAGAGAGCAAAGAAUUUUCUCUUAAUGGAACUUAGCGCGGGUUAAUAUGGAUAGGACUGAGGUCUUAAGACUCCUAACUAUUAAUGGAAAGGACCCACGGAGCGGUGCAAAGAGAUAUAUAUAGAAGGGCAGACAGGUCCUGAGGACCUGUCUGUCCUUCGGUCUUAAUACUCCUAACGUCGAAUAAGAAGCUGGAGGCUGGGUCCAGGUGCAAAGAAUAUUGUGUCCAUUAGAUCCAUUGAAUUAGGCGAAGGAUUUUAUCAAGCUUAGCUUUCUGGAUUCUUCGGCGGAGUGAGGCUUUCUCUAGUAGGUCUGGAGGCACAAAGAAUGAUCGAAGGCUCCAGACCAUAAAGAAGAGAGUCGGAGGACUUCCAUUGACUUUUUCUUCCUUUCACUUCUAACUUCAAACCUUUCAUAUUCAACCUUGAAAAUAAAGGAGGGAGCGGACUACGGAGGCCAUAAGUUUGAGUUCCUCAGAUGUAUAAAAACAAGUCCUCCGGACGACCUAUCCACUGAAAGUAGCUACGUAGUCUUGUCUCCUUCCCCGCGUAGUGGGCAUUGACUUCUUCAUUGAUUUUCUUCUAUCUCCCACGUAGCGGGUUUGAAUUAUGAAAGGAAGCCCACAGAGCUGAAGAUGGAGCGGGAUAAUAAAGAAGAAAGCUCAAAAGGAGGGAGCGGACCUCAAUGAACAAGGGGAGGACUCGUUUUCAUCCUUAUGGAAGAAAAAUCUCUUUUUUUUUUAUCUAAAAGACGUAGAAGGAGGCUCAAUGUCUAAUCUUUCUCUCAAAUCAAUAUCUCCCAGUGCAAAUAUUCCAGCAAUAUUCUCAAUAUGAAAAGAGCCUUUCUUCUUUUCUUAGAUAAAUGCGCUUCGUAGAUUAUGCUGAAGGAGGAGUGGGCCAUGAUCUUUGCUCCUUAAUUUCCCUAAUGGAUAGUCAUCUGGACCUUUCUUUUUAGUUCUUUGCGCUCUCGUCAACGCAUAUUUCAUUGCGCCUUCGCCUUCAAUGAAAAUCCAUAAAUAAAUAAGGGUAGAUUUCAGACUCAAGAGGAGGGUUCCUUAUCAAUAUCAAUAUGAGACGGAUAGGCUUUCUUUUACAUUCCACAGGUCCGAAGGACUAUCCAUAUUAACAUGUCUGUCCUUCGCCUAACUAGUUUCAUAUAGACCUUUGUUUUUCUUCCGCAGUCACUAAUAUGGAUAGUCCGGAGGACCUCCUUCAGCAUAAUCUAUGAAUGAUCGGAGCAAAGAAUAUUGCGGAAAAGAAGAAAGGAGUGCAAGCGAAAAAUAAUGGAUUGAAUAGUCCUUCGGACGAACUACCGCACUUGGGGGAUAUUGUUGAGAAAGAAUAUUGAAAAAGAAUGAUCGAAGAAUAUUGAAAAAGGACGGAGGAUAGGCUUUCUUUGAACAAUGUGGAUGUAUCAAAGAUUCCACAGGUUAAUAUGGUAGAUUUCAGACUAGUCCUUCACCUUGGAUCUGGGGACUAUUCUCUGUUCUAAUAGACAGAGGAGAGGUUCAAAGAAUAUUGAGAAUACUCGUGCAAGCGCAAUCAAUGAACAAGGUGAAAAGAAUAAAAAAAAAGGCGGUCGAUGAUCAGGAAGAAAAAGUCAAAAGUCUAUCCCAUCUUCUUCGUUAGGCGCAAAGAAGAAAAACAAGGUGCAAAGAUCUAUGGCCCAAUUAUAAGGGGUCCAGAUGCACCAUAAGACUGGUCCGAAGGACUAUCCAUAUUAACCGGAGUCUUCAACAAGAUUUCCAACAUUGAAUAUUAAGCUACUGAGGCCCAAUAUUGCGAAGGAAGAACUGCGCCAUAAGACAGGUCCGAAGGACUAUCCAUUAGGGAAUGAGACGGAGGUAACGUUUGGUUUUUUGGAAACUUGUUGGUCGCGGAUUAGUGCGUUUUUUUUGGAAAGUAACAAUUCUCUUCAGUUUGGUUUCAGAAAACUUGUUGGUCACGGAUUAGUGCGUUCUGCGCCGCCUGGUGUCACGAACAUAUUUUUCCAAAGUGUGUUUACCUUUGGUUAUAUGCUCCGAUUACCCCCAGUUUAUCUCAUCUUUAGUUUGCAUAACUAGUUUAGCUGAUUGCUUUUCAUUCUAGGUCAUAAAGCUUGGGUGUGACGUUUCGGCAUUUUCAUAUGCAAGCCUGCCAGAGAGGAAAAUGUUCAAAAUGUACUAUAGGGGAGGCAUACCAGUUGAAUCCCCGCCCAAGCAUUAGUUGUACUCUUUGCAAGCAACCCUUUUUCCUUGCAAUUGACAGUCUUUAAUGCUUAUUGUAACGUCUAUUUCAAUGUAUUUCUUUCUUUCCCGUGUUUUAUAAAUAAAAUGUCCCUAAAACGCAAACGAAGGUUACGACAUACAUCGACGUUACCCACAACUCUUGGAUAUUGAUCGACUGACUUGUUCAUCGAGUUAGAACAAGUGCCGCACAAUCGUCCGUCUCGAGGUUGAAACGCUACGAUUGUGACAAGUGGUAUCAGAGCCAAAGUUGGCUGAGUGACAGUUUUGACAAAAAUAAAAUGUCGACUGCAAAACGAGCGAGCAAGACCCAUGAAGAACGGUUGGUGGGGAUCGAAGUGCAGAUGCUCCACCUGAUGGAAGUUCCUGAUUCCAUCCGGUUCUUGGAAUAGCGGCUUGAGGAUAUUGCCAAGAAAGCUGAUGGCAUUGAAGCCGUGUCCGGUCGCCUUGACGGACUACCCAUCCAAGAGUUACUGACUAGAGUCGACACUCUAGAGUCCCGAGUUAUGAGAACGGGAAAUGUCACCUACGAGCGUGGGGACAGUUCAUCGGGCUCUGUUGCCCAGAUGGAAGAACGAGUUAUGGAGCUUGAUAACUCGCAAAAGAACAUGUUGGAGAUGAUCAGCGGCAUGACAAAGGAUUUUCGAGCAACCCUCGAUGUCGUGAGGAAUGAGCUCGCAGAGGUAAGCACGAGGGUGAACCUUACUAUGCGAGCACUAGAAAAUCAGGCUCUAGCUGGAGGAGCCAUUCCUGUGGGCAGAAUCAAGAUUCCUGAGCCCAAGCCCUUCUGUGGGGCGAGAGAUGCCAAGGCGUUGGAAAACUUCAUCUUUGAUGUCGAGCAGUAUUUCAAAGCCACGAACACAAUUACUGAAGAGGCCAAGGUGACGUUGGCAACCAUGCAUCUGUCAGAAGAUGCGAAGUUAUGGUGGAGGUCCCGAUACAUGGACAUUCAAGAAGGGCAUUGCACAAUCGACACGUGGGAUGCCCUAAAAGGAGAACUCCGUUCGCAAUUUUCCCUGAGAAUGUCGAAAUUCUGGUCCGACGGAAGCUGCGUGAAUUGAAGCACACGGGGAACAUUCGGGACUACGUGAAACAGAUUGCGGGGGUAAUGUUGGAUAUACGCGACAUGAUCGAAAAAGAUAAAAUAUUCAGCUUUGUUGAAGGGUUGAAGCCAUGGGCAAGGACUAAGCUAUACGAGCAGAAAGUCCAAGACCUCGUGUCAGCCUAUGCAACAGCUGAACGUUUGUUUGAUCUGUCUAAUGACGUUCAAGAGACAAGACAUCAUUGAAGCUCUUCACCUGGAAGAGACAGAAACAGCCGACUGAGUUCUCCCGAAGCUGUCAGUAGAAAUAAAAGUCCCGGCAGAGACCGCAAGCCCUUCCAGUCAAAUACGGGGAACACCAGGCAAAGGCCCACUAGUCAAAGGACCUCCCACACUCCUAUCAUGUUGCUACAUUUGUAACAGGCCACAUCGGACAAGGGAAUGUCCGGAUAAAGCGGCCUUCUACGCCUUCCAGGCCUCUCUGGCUACAGACUUAGGUGACAAGUUGGGUCAACCAGAGAAUGAAGGUGGGUAGGUGGAGGAAGUCCAAAACGUUAGAGUAGGGGCCAUAAGACUCUUGUCGUUCCUUCAGAAUAAAGCAGGGGAGACAAGUGGUCGUACAAAAGGGGGCCUAAUAUAUGUGGACACCUGGAUCAACCGAAGGCAUGCAAAGAGCACUAUGGUUGACUUCAGUGCAACCCAUAAUUUUAUAACGGUGGCGGAAGCCAGACGAUUGAACCUUCACUAGAAGAAGGAUACAGAAAGAUGAAGGCCGUAAAUUCUACAGCUUUACCCGUCGUCGGAGUAGUGAAACGAGCGGUGAUACAGUUGGAAAGAUGGAACGGCCUUGUUGACUUUGUGGUUGUGGGCAUGGAUGACUUUGAUGUAGUUCUCGGAAUGGAAUUCCUUCUCGAACAUCAAGUGAUCAUGAUGCCUGCAGCCAAAUGUCGGUGAUCACGGGAUCUACCCCACCGUUAUGCAGAUACCCCCACCAUUAUGGCAGAUAGAACUCCGGCAACCCAAAGGAUUGAGAAUGGUCUCGACCAUGCAACUGAGGGAGGGCCAUAUUCAGGAAGGACACAAGGCGUGUCGUGGAGAGACGUUGUGAUGGGAAACAGGAUAGUUUGCCCAUGUCAGAAUCGCCUACGAGAAAUGAUCAUCGUAUGGCGCAAUCAAAAUCAUCUGGACUCAGGAGACAGUCAAGAAGACUGUCAGGUGCAGGAUCCACUAGACCUGCGAGAGAUCCGUAUCAAGCACAAGACUUCUUACGGAAGGAAGAGAAUGGACAAUUGUGUGUCAACAACCGUGUCCUAAAGCAAGCCCCGAGGAGAGGGCCAACUUUUGAGUCCGUGAGUGGGACUCAGCCUGUUGAAGCUUACGCUAAGGCAUAUGGUCCUGUGUCAGGUGGCAUCCUAAUGCAGAAUGGACACCCUGUCACAGCUGAGAGUCAGAAACAAAGUGCCGCAGAAGGUAGUUAUACGAUGUUUGGAAAAGGAAUGCUGACCACGAUACGUAGUCUGAAGGAUGGAAGACAACAUUCCCAGGGGUCUACACAUGGAAGAGAGACGAACAACAUUGCGACCAACCGCUUUGAUACUCGGCCGAAGUGGGCUUUGAGUCAAGAAAAGUGGCAGAGGGACGUGUCAAGGAAUCCUUGCAGAAAAACUCUGUCAUUGAAGUUGAUGUAAGUCUGGCGGAGACCAGUCAGGUGGAAGAAAAGAAUGGAGUUCAAUUGUGGAAGCUAACCCAAUCUUAUGUUAAUGCUGCAAUGAGUUCGUCAAUGGAUGGAAACCAGUUUGUGGGUGUUUGUGGCGGACAUUCUGUACAGUCCCGCCUUGUUGGUCCCUCCUAUGUUGGUAAGAAUCCUCAAGCUUGCAACAGUACCAAGAGGUGGAAGCUGGAGUCAGACAUCGUUCGGACCGAUCGAGAGGAAGCCUCGAAGUGGCCAGAAAAGUGGGCAGAUAAGAAGCAUCGCCUCCGUGAUUCCCGUGGGGGAGACCAGGUCAUCGUCAAACGGCGAUCUGAACUGACUCAGUUUUUGAAGAAGACUUCAAGAUCACUGCCUCGUGAGAGAACGCGAGGGACAAACAGAAGUUCAAGAAGUCCUUGCUAAAGAAGCAAGGAAAAGAAGAAGACCCAUGGGGGGAUACACAAGUUCGUGGUGAAGCAGAGGAGCCUCCUCAUGGAAGAAGCCUGUGGAAGACGUACCAAGACUGUGAAGCGUGGAGGUAGAAGAUCGAAGGAUUCCAGCUUUGCCAGUCGACGGGGACGUCAACUGUUUAAGUGGGGGAGUGUGUCACGGACAUAUUUUUCCAAAGUGUGUUUACCUUUGGUUAUAUGCUCCGAUUACCCCUAGUUUAUCUCAUCUUUAGUUUGCAUAACUAGUUUAGCUGUUUGCUUUUCAUUCUAGGUCAUAAAGCCUUGGUGUGCGUUUCGACAUUUUCAUAUGCAAGCCUGCCAUAGAGGAAAAUGUUCAAAAUGUACUAUAGGGGAGGCAUACCAGUUGAAUCCCCGCCCAAGCAUUAGUUAUACUCUUUGCAAGCAACCCUUUUUCCUUGCAAUUGACAGUCUUUAAUGCUUAUUUUAACGUCUAUUUCAAUGUAUUUCUUUCUUUCCCGCGUUUUAUAAACAAAAUUUCCCUAAAACGCAAACGAAGGUUACGACAUACAUCGACGUUACCCACAACUCUUGGAUAUUGAUCGGCUUACUUGUUCAUCGAGUUAGAACAAGUGUCGCACAAUCGUCCGUCUCGAGGUUGAAACGCUACGAUUGUGACACCCGACGGCCACAUAGAAUUGAGAAAAGCCUAUGGUUGAGGCAGCAUUAAUUUAUGAAACUUUACACGUGGGAAGGGAUGACUCUUUCUAUUCAAACCUGUAAACAUAGAAGACCGCCUCAAUGAACAAGGGAUCAUUCACAUAGAAUAAAUAUGAACAACGAGAAAGGGAAUAUAAGGUUUGAAUUCAGAGGAAAGCCUAGCUUGAAUGAACAAGGUGAAAAGAAUAUUGACAGCUGCACUUACGAGUCUUUCAGUUACCUUUCUGCCUCUUUAAAGAGAGUUCAAGGUUUUCUAUUAUCGAAAGAAUCAGAAUAAGAAGAAAAUAGAGGAAGACAGAGAGAAGAGAGCUCAGGAGGCGCAAUGAAAUAUGCGUGAGAAGCGCAUUUCCUUAGUGGAAUACUUUGAUAGCGGAAUAAGAAGUCGGAGGCUCGGUCAAGACGAUCUUUUGAUCUAUUCUAAUGGUUCUAAUGGAUAGUCCUUCGUUUUAGAGUCCUACAGAUAAAUCCUCCGGACUGGUCCGAAGGCUAGGUUCAUACGGAUAGUCAGGAGGACGGUUAGUUGGAGCCUUGUUUUUCGAAAUCUUCUUUGAGCCUCAGUCGUCUCAUUGAUAAGGACAUCUUUGCAAAUGAAGAGCGGGAGGUGCAAAGUGCGGCUAUUACUUUGAAAAGAAUAGGAGCUCCGCGGUUUGAAUUGAAUAAAAAGGAUAGGCUGAAAUUCAAAGUGAAUAAGAGGAUAUUUUCAGAUAUAAUAUCUAAAGUCAAUGAACAGGGGCUCCUAACCUCUGAUUUAUGGGGAGCCUACUACGUCCAUUAGUUCCGAACUUGGCUCCACUCCUAGUAGUUCGAACUUGGCUUUGCUCCUUCGCUUUUUCUCUUAUUGAUCUCUCUUGUAAUGCUUUCUACUAAGAAUCAAGAAAGCGCAACUUCUAUUUUGUUCGAACGACCUUGAUUAAAAAACGAUGCUUCCUUGGUCGUGUAGAACAUGGAUUAGCAUUAUUUCAUUCCUACAAGCGAUCCCCCAUCCAGGAUUGGAAGAAGUGCUAUAUGAGGACUUUGAGAUCAAAUAGAAUAUAUUUCUUUCAAGACCUCGUGAGCCACUUAUUUCUCUGAAACAAGAGAGAAAAGUGAUUUUCCUCCUUUUUCUCAAUAAGUCGACGACCUUACACCAUUGGGAUACUUCUUUGAAACUAGAGUACAUAUAGGAUACACCGGUGCUAAAACCUUUUCUCAAAAGAUCUUCCAAACUGUUGGGGUCCUUGCUCCGUAUGUUCUUCCCCCGGUGUGAAAGCAGUUGGUUCCAUAGUUUGAGAAUUCUACUGAUCCCAAGUACUCCAUCUCCAUCAUUGCAUAUGGGAAUAUAGAAAGUCAAGAAGAAAAGGCAUGAGCAGAAGAAUUGUGUGAAAUAAGUCAAUUUAUCCAAUUGAGGCAUUCUUUCUUUUUCUUAAGAAAAUUCCCUCUAGACAUAAAUCCUUUCUGUACGAGUAGUGAAGAACUAUAGAGAGUAGUGGUUGGUUGUUGACCAACGAAAAGCAUGGGAGAAAGAAAGAUGUUGGCAAGGAAGCAUCAAAUUAGAUCAAUGGAAGAGGCUCAAAGAAUGAUCGAGGACUAUUUUAGUUCGACUAGAAACUAGGGAAACUAAAGACUAACGAAAUCUAGAUGAGAAUCCGUACAAUUAGUCUCGAGAAAAAGAAGAAAGCAAUAAAAAAAGUGAAGACAGAAAAUGAACCGAAAAUCUUCUUCUCUCAUAUUGAAUUCAUCCUUCUACGCAUCUCCAUGGGCUCGACUGAGAGUGGAGGAGAGGACGGGAAGAAUGAGAAAAAUAGUAAGGCGAGAAGACAGGUUCGAAGGACUAUCCAUCAGGGAGUUUGGACCCCGUAGUUAGGAGCAAAGAAUAUUGCGAAAGAGUCAUAAUAGGUACAAAUCUUCUUAUAGAUUAUGUUGAAGGAGGCGGCGCAAUUCAAUAUGCGAAAGUCAUGAUCCCUUUAAAGCAGACGUUAGGCGCAAAGAAAGAAGCUCAUUAACGAGAAUGAAAGAAUAAUUCACUCAUUAACGAGAAUGAAAGAAUAAUUCACUCAUUAACGAUAAUGAAAGAAUAAUUCUGAUUUCAUCACCUUGUUUUUACGGAGUUCAAUACUAGAUUGAAGACGGAGGGAAAUCCCAGAUUUUGCUAGGUUUUGGGCCUAUAAAGUAGCAAGAAAUCAUGAAAAAUCAGUCAAAAUUAGACAAUUAUCGUAGCAUAUCAAUAUGAGAAAAAGUAUGAAAAAGAAGCAAAAAAGUCGGGAAAUAGCAAUUCAAGAAGAAAGCCUAGGACAGGGAAAAGAAAUGAACACUUCUAGUUUGAGUUUAUGGUCCGGAUACUGACAGGUCUAUUCUUUAUUCCGCUCCUGAAUACGGAUAAUCCUACUUCGGUUAAUUACGGAUAGUCCUCCUUCGGUUAAUUACGGAUGGUCCUACGGAUAAAUCCUCCAGACUACUUCCUUCCAUAUGGAUGGUCCUACUUCGGUUAAUUACGGAUGGUCCUACUUCCAUAUGGAUGUCCUACGGAUAAGAAUCCUGCAGACUCCGGACUACUUUGGUUAAUUACGGAUGGUCCUACGGAUAAAUCCUUCGGACUCCGGAUAAAUCCUGCGGACUCCGGACGUACGACGUAGGAUAAAUCACCUGGACCUUUCUUUGGCACUACGGACUACUUCGGUUAAUUACGGAUGGUCCUACGAAUAAAUCCUCAAGACUCCGGGUCGUAAGACGUAGGAGAAAUCCUGCGGACUCCUUCCUUCCAUAUGGAUGGUCCUACGGAUAAAUCCUCCAGACUACUUCAAUUAAUUACGGAUGGUCCUACUUCCAUAUGGAUAGUCCUACUUCAAAUGGAUAGUCCUCCGGAUAAAUCCUGCGGACGUAGGACCCUGGACCUUUCUUUCUUUAAUGGAUAGUCCUCCAGAUAAAUCCUGCAAACUGCGGACGUAGGACCCUGGACCUUUCUUUGGCACUCCGGACGAAUAAAGAAAGGAUAAAUAAAGGCGCAAAGAAUAUUGCGAAGUGAAGCGCAUUUAUCUAAGAAAAGAAGAAAUGAUAAAUAAAGGCGCAAAGAAUAUUGCAAGAGCGGGAAUUACCUUUUCUCUUCGGGUUAGCUAAGAGUUGCCGGAGGCUUGAAGUCGGAUAAUUACUUUUACUUAAAGGUUUCACAAACCUGGAAAAUCUUCUCCAAAUUAGCGUUAGCGUUCUGAGCUAGCCAAGCAGUAUAUUUAAAAUAUAGAAAGAAGAAAAAUCCAUGCAAUCCAAGUACACUAAGAACCUACAGCAUCGUCACCGCUGCGUGGGAAGGUUAAUUCUUCUAACUCUAGUAUUAUCGUUGAACAAGCAGUUCAUAUUCGACUGCCCGCGUAGUGGGGGAAGCUCGCUCGCUAACUUUGCACUUCGGCCAAAAUGCCGAAAAAAGGCUAAGGCCGAAGGAGGUCUGCUCCUUCGCUCAAGGAAAAAUUGCCCGAUUGGAUAUAUAUCUUGGAGCAGAGAGAGGAAAGGAUGACGGAAGCCUCAGUCUCAGUACGAAACGGGCAAAAAGCUGGAAAAGGCAUACUGGCUUCACCUUGCCCUAGGAUGGGGUCCGCCGGAUCUUUUAAGGCAUAAGCUUAAUGCUGAGACGCACGGGGAUAUCCGGUCAAGGAUGGAUAUUCAAGACAAGGACGAAGGCUCUCCUUCACGCAAGAUGAUUACAAGUCUUAGGAGUGAACUUCCGCUUUACCCCUUGUGGUAUCAUGAAGCGAAGGGCAGAGAAAGCGAGCGAGAAAACAUAAAUCAAGGCGGUCGUUGACUUAAAAUAGGCAAAAAGAAAAGACAGAGAGCCUACAGGUUUCUCGAUUUACCCUUCUUUUAGGAUAGAAAAAGGCACUGCCUGUGUGACCACUACAAGCAGACGUGACGAGCGAUGCAGGGCCACCCACGACCGCUAGCAAUACGAGGUAAAGCGGCCAGAAAGCAUACCAUAGGAUGCGUCCUGAGGGCAUUCACAUAAACAUUCUUCGAAUUGUUCACAUUCGGCGGGAUGUUCUUAGCCUUGUCUCCAAGUGAAUAAUUGAAUCGGCACCGACACGAUCGGACCUAUUGCAGCCUUCGGUUGACUGGUGGCAUUCGAUGGUAUGCUUUGAGGCCUUCCCAACCUGCUCCGUGUAAAAGAGGUAGAAGGAGGCUCAAAGAAUUAUCGAAGAGCGAGACGAAAGAAAAUAGCGACUUCCAGUCGGUGAUGGGAUAUCUCAAUGUUAUCGCAGAUUCAAAGGCGCAAAGAAUAUUGCAUUGAGGCUCGAUUGAAAGGAGAGGCGAAUUUGAGAAGAAAGAACUAUAUCGGAUAAAUACUCAACUGCCUCAGAUGUCACUGGGACAAGAGCCGGAGAUUCUGAAACCUCUCGCAGCUUCUUUGCUUCCUUUGGUCUCGAUAUUUGAACCGCCUCAAUAAACAAUAAAUAAGGGUCCAAAAAAUCAAGGUCAUCUGAAACCCUUUUUUUUAUGCGCCUCAAUCCUAUCCAUUAGAACGCCGGCCCUCACCCUUUUUCUCAAAUUCUUUGACCCUCUGUCUCAGUAUUCGGCGGAGAUGCUGAUGUUAACAACAAAUGCAGGCUGAAUGUUGUAUGGAAGGAUGAUCAUUUCGGCUUCUUGUAGCCAUUGAUGUUGUCUAAUGCUUGGAGAGACAUUGUUUAAUGUGACUUUGGACAAGGUUACUGAAGAUAGAACUAUCUGGCUUUAGGUCAGUUUUCAGUUGCUAAGACAGUGAAGCUCUUUCAUCUUUCUGGUAAUACUGUCCCUUGGUUCAAGCUUCUUUGGGGUAAGAAGCACAUCCCUAGUCAUGCUUUUCUUUCGUGGAUGGCUAUGAAUAAGAGUCUGAGAGUCAAAGCUAAACUGUAUAAUCUUUAAGUGCUUUCGUCUUAUUUUGAGGUUUGGAAGCAAAGAAGCAGAGCGGAGUUUGAUUCCUUAUAUCAGAAAAAGAUAUAGGAAGACUCCCAGAAAGAAGAAAGCCUAGGAGCAAGCAAAGAAAGAGUAAGGAUCAGAAAGCUCCUAACCCCUAUUUAUUUAUGGAUGUGAAUUGAGCGAAGGCGCAAAGAAUAUUGCGAAGGUUAAAAGAAUAUUGACUUGAUAAACCUCUAUUUAGCUUCUUAUAUCUGAAGACGAUAAAGUCAGAUAAUCAGCCUCCGGCUGGGUCGGAUCGUCCAUACCUAGUUGAGUAUCUCUGUCCGUCAUAACGAAUUCACUCUUUGAAAAAGGGUCGGACUUUGUUGGAGUUGACUCGGUGAGUACACUUUCAUCUUUACGAGAAGAAGCGCGAACAACAACUAUAUUAUUCAGCGAUAGACCUGAUUUACCCGAUGAGUGGAACGACUCGACAAAAGUCUUAGGACUCGGGACAGACGCGCCUCCUUCCUGCUAGAACUCAUAGGUCUACGGGGGUUCUUUCGGUAGCGAGAAUAGUGGUCCCAAACGGAAUAGAAGUACUUUUGAUUCACUGAAUCAUAAUCUUUGAAAGAAGAAAGGGGGACGGAGGAUCAAUGAAAUUUGAUGAUGAUGAGUAAGCUCUUGCUUUUCUUGCUCCUCUUUCUGAAGUUGCGAGAGGUUCAAAUAUCCUUAUCAAUGAUUGGAGUGAUUGUUCCGGUUGCAAAUGUUGCUGUUGGAGUAGAAGUUGUAGCCCUUUCGGUGAGGUGC
rnacentral:lncRNA from 1 species